GGUGAAUGGAACACUGGUUCUUAACAAGACAGUAAGGACCCAACAAGACAUGCGCUGAACAUCUUUUGUGAUUGCUGUCCCUCUGGUGGAUGAUGGAUACGUUGGUGUACAAUGAGGUCUGAGCCUACACAUGUUUUCAAAAAGGGCGGCCCUGUGCACACUGAUUUCCAGCUCUAAUAUACCGAGGAGGACACCCACAUCUGAAAUGAAUGACCGCAGCUCAAAGUUACAGAAACAUCCACCACACCAGAGAGCAGAGGCUUGCAGUAUCUGAAGAACCAUGUCCAGGAUGUUUUGCCUGCUGAUAGUGUCCAAAUUCCUAUAGAAGUACAGAGCUGUAGAGUUAAGACCACUGUGAUUUCACCUUGUGAUUUGCAUGCAGCUCUGCCAGUGCCAUUUGUCACAUUACAUCACCCCUUUGUGUGUCCAGCAACAAUCUGACCCCUGUAAUCCACCAGUUUACUAUCACAGCCCCCGAUCGGCCCUCUCCAGCUGGCCACAGAGAGGCAGCAUAUUUUACAUUGAUGUAACAUAAGAACAUGAAAGAGCGACACCCUGGUGUGAAAAGAAUGGUUUUGGAGGUGCCGGAUGCCAGCCCCAUCUCAAACACAGCUGGUGUACACACCGCCUCUCACUGAGGUAUUAUGGCCAGUCAACACAGCAGAUCUACUUUACAUAUCACUGGAUUAAUGCAAGGCUUUGAUUUUGUGUGUGUGCGCAUUGCAGGUCAGACUCUGCUCCAUUUUACAGAACAAAUCAGUGACAGGCAGGCAUGUAACUAUUAUAGGCGUUCAGUAAUGCCUACCCUCAGGGCGCUCUGUGAUUUCCUUUAGUAGCCUGUGAUUUAGUCCAUUAUAAAAACCUGUUAAACUCAGGCUGCCGCAGCAAAUAAAACACACACUAAAUGGAGAUGGAAACAGAAGGAAAAUCUGCCCUGGAGCUGACUUCAUUAUGAGACCAGUGUAAAAAAACAAAACAGUUACAAGCAUCUUGAUCCCAAAUAAUUGAUUUUCAAAACUUGUGACACAGAACAAAUAUAUAUACACAAAUAAGACUAGCUUGUCAAUUGUUGCACAUGCAUUCUCCUGACCCACAAAUUUACAGGAUAUGUUUACAUGAUUAACCACACACUGUACGUUUGACACAUGCAGAGGAGUCAUUCAAACCUUCCUUUGCUCUCUGCUGAUUUCUCCAGAUCAACACACGCAACUCCUACUCUUUUCAGGAUCAUACCUUCACUACGAAAGGAUGACAUGUUUUCAGAAUCUGAUCACAGGUUUAUCAUGACGUUAGUUUCAUCAUGAUUCCUUACGAGCUGUCAUGUGGUUAUAAGAAAUGUUUCUCAGCAGCUGACCCCAUGUUUGGAAGAAGUUUACCAUGAAGAGAGGUGUGAGACACUAGUCAGCGGCUUGAGGAAUACUCUGAGUCAGACAUGCAUUGGUAAACACAGACUGCUCUUACUGACCUUCCAGUUGCUGUUUGAACUCCAGCAGCAUAACAAUAAGCUCGUCACAGUGCAUUAUGUCUUUUUUUUCUGAGGUGUCUGAGGCUCUGUUUUUAAUACCUCAGAAAGAUUGGACAGCCGCUAGAACACCUUUUACAGUCGCUAAAAUGCUAUACAGCAAGAGGAGUUGAUGGAUAAAAGGUACAACUGUUUGUGUUAUAUUUUCCCCCAAAUAAAAUUAAAUAAAUUAGCCCAUGUGUUAGAUUUUUAGAGAUUAGUCUUGUUAUUGA